GAUGAACGCUGGCGGCGUGCUUAACACAUGCAAGUCGAACGAAACACCUUAUUUGAUUUUCUUCGGAACUGAAGAUUUGGUGAUUGAGUGGCGGACGGGUGAGUAACGCGUGGGUAACCUACCCUGUACAGGGGGAUAACAGUCAGAAAUGACUGCUAAUACCGCAUAAGACCACAGCACCGCAUGGUGCAGGGGUAAAAACUCCGGUGGUACAGGAUGGACCCGCGUCUGAUUAGCUGGUUGGUGAGGUAACGGCUCACCAAGGCGACGAUCAGUAGCCGGCUUGAGAGAGUGAACGGCCACAUUGGGACUGAGACACGGCCCAAACUCCUACGGGAGGCAGCAGUGGGGAAUAUUGCACAAUGGGGGAAACCCUGAUGCAGCGACGCCGCGUGAGUGAAGAAGUAUCUCGGUAUGUAAAGCUCUAUCAGCAGGGAAGAAAAUGACGGUACCUGACUAAGAAGC
rnacentral:rRNA from 1 species